UGUUUCGGCAAGGGGGUCAUCCCGACUUACCAACCCGAUGCAAACUGCGAAUACCGGAGAAUGUUAUCACGGGAGACACACGGCGGGUGCUAACGUCCGUCGUGAAGAGGGAAACAACCCAGACCGCCAGCUAAGGUCCCAAAGUCAUGGUUAAGUGGGAAACGAUGUGGGAAGGCCCAGACAGCCAGGAUGUUGGCUUAGAAGCAGCCAUCAUUUAAAGAAAGCGUAAUAGCUCACUGGUCGAGUCGGCCUGCGCGGAAGAUGUAACGGGGCUAAACCAUGCACCGAAGCUGCGGCAGCGACGCUGAUGCGUUGUUGGGUAGGGGAGCGUUCUGUAAGCCUGUGAAGGUGUGCUGUGAGGCAUGCUGGAGGUAUCAGAAGUGCGAAUGCUGACAUAAGUAACGAUAAAGCGGGUGAAAAGCCCGCUCGCCGGAAGACCAAGGGUUCCUGUCCAACGUUAAUCGGGGCAGGGUGAGUCGACCCCUAAGGCGAGGCCGAAAGGCGUAGUCGAUGGGAAACAGGUUAAUAUUCCUGUACUUGGUGUUACUGCGAAGGGGGGACGGAGAAGGCUAUGUUGGCCGGGCGACGGUUGUCCCGGUUUAAGCGUGUAGGCUGGUUUUCCAGGCAAAUCCGGAAAAUCAAGGCUGAGGCGUGAUGACGAGGCACUACGGUGCUGAAGCAACAAAUGCCCUGCUUCCAGGAAAAGCCUCUAAGCAUCAGGUAACAUCAAAUCGUACCCCAAACCGACACAGGUGGUCAGGUAGAGAAUACCAAGGCGCUUGAGAGAACUCGGGUGAAGGAACUAGGCAAAAUGGUGCCGUAACUUCGGGAGAAGGCACGCUGAUAUGUAGGUGAAGUCCCUCGCGGAUGGAGCUGAAAUCAGUCGAAGAUACCAGCUGGCUGCAACUGUUUAUUAAAAACACAGCACUGUGCAAACACGAAAGUGGACGUAUACGGUGUGACGCCUGCCCGGUGCCGGAAGGUUAAUUGAUGGGGUCAGCGCAAGCGAAGCUCUUGAUCGAAGCCCCGGUAAACGGCGGCCGUAACUAUAACGGUCCUAAGGUAGCGAAAUUCCUUGUCGGGUAAGUUCCGACCUGCACGAAUGGCGUAAUGAUGGCCAGGCUGUCUCCACCCGAGACUCAGUGAAAUUGAACUCGCUGUGAAGAUGCAGUGUACCCGCGGCAAGACGGAAAGACCCCGUGAACCUUUACUAUAGCUUGACACUGAACAUUGAGCCUUGAUGUGUAGGAUAGGUGGGAGGCUUAGAAGUGUGGACGCCAGUCUGCAUGGAGCCGACCUUGAAAUACCACCCUUUAAUGUUUGAUGUUCUAACGUGGACCCGUGAUCCGGGUUGCGGACAGUGUCUGGUGGGUAGUUUGACUGGGGCGGUCUCCUCCUAAAGAGUAACGGAGGAGCACGAAGGUUGGCUAAUCCUGGUCGGACAUCAGGAGGUUAGUGCAAUGGCAUAAGCCAGCUUGACUGCGAGCGUGACGGCGCGAGCAGGUGCGAAAGCAGGUCAUAGUGAUCCGGUGGUUCUGAAUGGAAGGGCCAUCGCUCAACGGAUAAAAGGUACUCCGGGGAUAACAGGCUGAUACCGCCCAAGAGUUCAUAUCGACGGCGGUGUUUGGCACCUCGAUGUCGGCUCAUCACAUCCUGGGGCUGAAGUAGGUCCCAAGGGUAUGGCUGUUCGCCAUUUAAAGUGGUACGCGAGCUGGGUUUAGAACGUCGUGAGACAGUUCGGUCCCUAUCUGCCGUGGGCGCUGGAGAACUGAGGG
rnacentral:rRNA from 1 species